rnacentral:rRNA from 1 species
CCUACGGUGUGCAGCAGUGGGGAAUAUUGGACAAUGGGCGAAAGCCUGAUCCAGCCAUGCCGCGUGUGUGAAGAAGGCCUUCGGGUUGUAAAGCACUUUCAGUGGGGAAGAAAGCCUUGGGGCUAAUACCCUCGAGGAAGGACAUCACCCACAGAAGAAGCACCGGCUAACUCCGUGCCAGCAGCCGCGGUAAUACGGAGGGUGCGAGCGUUAAUCGGAAUUACUGGGCGUAAAGCGCGCGUAGGCGGUCUGAUAAGCCGGUUGUGAAAGCCCCGGGCUCAACCUGGGAACGGCAUCCGGAACUGUCAGGCUAGAGUGCAGGAGAGGAAGGUAGAAUUCCCGGUGUAGCGGUGAAAUGUGUAGAGAUCGGGAGGAAUACCAGUGGCGAAGGCGGCCUUCUGGACUGACACUGACGCUGAGGUGCGAAAGCGUGGGUAGCAAACAGGAUUAGAUACCCGAGUAGUC